AUCCAGAUGACCAGUCCCAGAAAGGACGAAACACGAGUCUUAGAU
rnacentral:hammerhead_ribozyme from 1 species